rnacentral:misc_RNA from 1 species
GAUGAAGACGUAGUGAAAUGCGAUAAGUAAUGUGAAUUGCAGAAUUCAGUGAAUCAUCGAAUCUUUGAACGCACAUUGCGCCCGCCAGUAUUCUGGCGGGCAUGCCUGUUCGAGCGUCAUUUCAACCAUCAAGCCCCCGGCUUGUGUUGGGGACCUGCGGCUGCCGCAGGCCCUGAAAACCAGUGGCGGGCUCGCUAGUCACUCCGAGCGUAGUAAUACAUCUCGCUCAGGGCGUGCUGCGGGUUCCGGCCGUUAAAAAGCCUUAUUUACCCAAGGUUGACCUCGGAUCAGGUAGGAAGACCCGCUGAACUUAAGCAUAUCAAUAAGCGGAGGA